AGAUCCUUGGCCAAACAACGCGGAUUGCAGUUCAUUUCAAAGUUUUGCUACUGUUCCUGAUUCAUUUCAUUGUGAUCAGAAAAGCUGCUUGGUUUUGGUAUCAGGAUGAUGCUGGCAUCAUAAAAUGAGUAUUUUUCUUCAGACUUCAGACUGCUGUGCUGGAAGCAAGAAUUUCAAGCAUUGGAUCUUAGCUUGCUGGGCUCCAUAGGGGUGGGAUCCACUGAGCUAGACCACUUGGCUCCCUGGCUUCAGCCCCCUUCCAGAUGUCCUUGGCGUGUACACCCUGUGGAAUCUGGUUCAUCUUCAAUCUGUCAGAAGGCAUCAGAGGUGGUUUUGACUCCUUAUGUCUUGGACCUGUGCACAAAAAGUGUAAAAUGGAUGGAACAUCAGACAGCUCAUUAUAGAGACAAGUAAGCUCCAGUUCCAAAGUUGGUUGACAGAACAAGUCAUGACCUUGUGUGGAGGAAAAUGAGAUCCCGAGUGAAGUCUACAAUGUCAUUGACUCUGAAGAAGGACUCAGAGACCCAUUGGUGUUUAAUGACCCUUACUGGCCUAUGCAAUGGAAACUGAUCUUGAGUGUGCCUUAAAAUUCCAUUUCAUGGAGAACUGUGCGUGGUUGAAUUUUGAUUG
rnacentral:lncRNA from 1 species